rnacentral:lncRNA from 1 species
ACACAUCCUGAGAGCAAGCAUCAUAUCUCAUCCCUGAAACCCUGCAAUUUCAAGCCCUAUUCCUCCUUCUCCUCCCAUUUCCUCUUUUGGGAUAUCAUUCUAGAGCUUGACAGAGCUUUCGUCAGGCUGCCGGAAACUACUCAACACACCCAUUAUUCUUCCCCCACCUCUCUCUCUUCAACGAACUCUCUUAAAAUUCAUUCUCCUCUACUUUAAAACCCUUGUUUUUCAUAGGAACUCAC